UAGGACAUAGCUCAAUGGCACAGCACCUGCCUGGCAAACAUGAGGUCCUGAGUUUGAUUCCCAGUAUCAAAA
rnacentral:tRNA from 1 species